CGAAGACAUAGUUUUUGUGGUCUUAAUAGCUAAAUUGUCCUGGGACACUCCAAAUGUGAUUUAUUUGUCCCAAGGCCAGUAGAAGGUUCCAUGUAGGUGAAAAUGGAUGUUUGGCUAGUUGAAGAGAAAUGGAAAUGAGUUCUGCAAGCUGACUUACUCAGUGGAAAUGGGGAGACACAUUACACCUUAUAGAGAAGCAGUUUCUGAGAGUCAGAGCUGGCUGGAGAAGAACUGCAUGGUCCCUGUCACUGGAGUAUGUCCAACGGUGAGGAUACCAGUGGAAAUCACCCAGGAGAAGAAUAUGGUCAUUCUGGGAAUAAAUUCUGCAGCCACGGUGGAUGAGAGAACCCAAUCCCUCUAGAUAUGAAUGAAGCCAGGCCUUCAGUAGUAGAUUCACUGUGAACCAGAACGCCUGCAGGAGGUUAAACAUUUUGGCUUUUUUCACCUGAUGGCAGGCUCCAGUGGACCACCCAAGGAGCCCUUUGAAAUACUACUUUUC
rnacentral:lncRNA from 1 species